ACGAACGCUGGCGGCGCGCCUAACACCUGCAAGUCGCACGGAGCUGAGAGAAGCUUGCUUUUCUUAGCUUAGUGGCGAACGGGUUAGUAACGCGUGAGUAACCUGCCCUGGAGUGGGGGACAACAGUUGGAAACGACUGCUAAUACCGCAUAAGCCCACGAUCCGGCAUCGGAUUGAGGGAAAAGGAUUUAUUCGCUUCAGGAUGGACUCGCGUCCAAUUAGCUAGUUGGUGAGGUAACGGCCCACCAAGGCGAGGAUUGGUAGCCGGACUGAGAGGUUGAACGGCGACAUUGGGACUGGGACACGGCCCAGACUCCUACGGGAGGCAGCAGUGGGGGAUAUUGCACAAUGGGGGAAACCAUGAUGCAGCGACGCCGCGUGGAGGAAGAAGGUUUUGGGAUUGUAAACUCCUGUAGUGAGGGACGAUAAUGACGGUACCUAACAAGAAAGCACCGGCUAACUACGUG
rnacentral:rRNA from 1 species